GACGAACGCUGGCGGCGUGCCUAAUACAUGCAAGUAGAACGCAGUUGCGAACGGGUGAGUAACGCGUAGGUAACCUGCCUCAUAGCGGGGGAUAACUAUUGGUAACGAUAGCUAAUACCGCAUACUGUGAGAUGGACCUGUGUUGUAUUAGCUAGUUGGUGAGGUAAAGGCUCACCAAGGCGACGAUACAUAGCCGACCUGGGAGGGUGAACGGCUACACUGGGACUGAAACACGGCCCAGACUACUACGGGAGGGAGCAGUAGGGCAUCUUCGACCAUGGACGAGAGUCUGACCGGGCAACGCCGCGUGAGUGAAGAAGGUUUUCGGAUCGUAAAACGCUGUUGUUAUAGAAGCGGUAUCUAACCAGAAAGCCACGGCUAACUACGUGCCAGCAGCCGCGGUAAUUC
rnacentral:rRNA from 1 species